rnacentral:lncRNA from 1 species
AAUUCCAAAGAUUAUUCGGAAGAGAAAAAUUGGGUUCAAUUGUAAAAAUAUUUUCUGAUACAUUCCUUCGAUAUAUAUUGGAAUUUAUUUCAGUAGUAAUAGAAAUAAAAAUGGGGCCGCGCCGCGCCUCCACCAAGAAUGGGGUGGGUUUGGGCUGAGACAGUUGGAGAAGGGAAGAGGCUGAGACAAGUUGGAUCAGAGAAGAAGGCCUGGGUUUGUUGGUGGGGUUAGUUGGGUGUGGGUUGCGGUGGGUGUGUGGCUAGGGUAUGGUCGAGUGGGGUGGCUUGGUGGGUGUGGGUACUGGCGGACUCAAGAAUUGUUUAACAGAAGUGUAAUUUUGAUAGGCUAAAAACUUUAUAAUAAAAAAAAAUAUUGACAACUAAAUAUCAUUAUAAUUGAAACAUUAAGGGUCUUAGGCUAUGAUUAUGACUAAUUGACUAUAGUAUAUCAAUUAAUAUAGAAAUCAAUAUCAAAUCAUCAAUUAAUCUAAUGAAAAUCAGUAUCAAAUUAUUAAUGAAAUAAUCAAAUCAUAAUUGAUUGUAACUCGACUUGUGAGUCGCACAACCUCUUCAUUCUGAGUUUGCUACUAAUCAUAUGAAUACAACAGAGAGAGCAAAUUAGAAAAAAAAAAUUAAGAAAAUAUUUAAAACAAAAACAAAUUUCGCCUUUGCUCAAGAAGAAGAAAAAAAAAAAAAAAGCAUCAAACUUACUUUGGAGUUGUGCAAUUGGUGUUUGUUCCCUAACAAAAACGGUUGCUCAAAAUUGGUGUUAAUCCUUUAUCCUCCCAAUCCCACAUAAAUAAGGAGUUGUGCAAU